UCUUUCUUUUUCUUUUCUUUUUUUUUUUUCCCACUCGAUUCAAUUUUCUCAACCACAAAAUAAAU
rnacentral:ribozyme from 13 species